AUGUGGCCAUCCCUCUUCGUGCCCGAAGGCCUUGAGCAGCUUGCCAAGAAGCAGGAGGGAGUGCGGCAGCGCUUCCGGUUAUGGAAGAUAUCGGCUUACCGUCAAGGUGCCAGGGAGGCCUGGGCCAUGGUGAAGACUCGGUACACGAAGGCUGACCCAAACCACAUGGCCGAGGUCGGCCCUAUAGGUCCGGACGGAAAGGAGAUCCCGGUCAGCUCGGCAUAUGGCCAGGUGGAGCUGGCUGCAAAGUAUUCCCAACAGGACUGUAAAUUAGACCGCCUGUUAGAUGGCAUUGAAGAAGAAUAUGCCGAGUCGGAUUGA
rnacentral:rRNA from 1 species